CCUACGGGAGGCAGCAGUGGGGAAUAUUGCACAAUGGGCGCAAGCCUGAUGCAGCGACGCCGCGUGAGGGAUGGAGGCCUUCGGGUUGUAAACCUCUUUUAUCGGGGAGCAAGCGAGAGUGAGUUUACCCGUUGAAUAAGCACCGGCUAACUACGUGCCAGCAGCCGCGGUAAUACGUAGGGUGCAAGCGUUAUCCGGAAUUAUUGGGCGUAAAGGGCUCGUAGGCGGUUCGUCGCGUCCGGUGUGAAAGUCCAUCGCUUAACGGUGGAUCCGCGCCGGGUACGGGCGGGCUUGAGUGCGGUAGGGGAGACUGGAAUUCCCGGUGUAACGGUGGAAUGUGUAGAUAUCGGGAAGAACACCAAUGGCGAAGGCAGGUCUCUGGGCCGUUACUGACGCUGAGGAGCGAAAGCGUGGGGAGCGAACAGGAUUAGAUACCCUGGUAGUCCACGCCGUAAACGGUGGAUGCUGGAUGUGGGGCCCGUUCCACGGGUUCCGUGUCGGAGCUAACGCGUUAAGCAUCCCGCCUGGGGAGUACGGCCGCAAGGCUAAAACUCAAAGAAAUUGACGGGGGCCCGCACAAGCGGCGGAGCAUGCGGAUUAAUUCGAUGCAACGCGAAGAACCUUACCUGGGCUUGACAUGUUCCCGACGACGCCAGAGAUGGCGUUUCCCUUCGGGGCGGGUUCACAGGUGGUGCAUGGUCGUCGUCAGCUCGUGUCGUGAGAUGUUGGGUUAAGUCCCGCAACGAGCGCAACCCU
rnacentral:rRNA from 1 species